rnacentral:rRNA from 1 species
GACGAACGCUGGCGGCGUGCCUAACACAUGCAAGUUGAGCGACGAACCAGGGCUUGCCCUGGGGCAUAGCAGCGAACGGGUGAGUAACACGUGGGUAACCUACCCCGAUAACCGGGACAACCCGAGGAAACUCGGGCUAAUACCGGAUGUGCUCACUGGACUUCGGUUCAGUGCGUAAAGGAAGCUUCGGCCUCCGUAUCGGGAGGGGCCCGCGGCCCAUUAGUUUGUUGGUGAGGUAACGGCUCACCAAGACCGCGAUGGGUAGCUGGUCUGAGAGGACGAUCAGCCACACUGGGACUGAGACACGGCCCAGACUCCUACGGGAGGCAGCAGUGGGGAAUCUUGCGCAAUGCGCGAAAGCGUGACGCAGCAACGCCGCGUGGGGGAAGAAGGCCUUCGGGUUGUAAACCCCUUUCAGGAGGGACGAAGGUUCGGCGGUGAAUAGCCGUCCGGACUGACGGUACCUCCACAAGAAGCCCCGGCUAACUACGUG